rnacentral:rRNA from 1 species
AUUGAACGCUGGCGGCGUGCCUAACACAUGCAAGUCGAGCGGUAACAGGUGUAGCAAUACAUGCUGACGAGCGGCGAACGGGUGAGUAAUGCUUUGGAAUCUUCCCAGUAGUGGGGAAUAACCAGUCGAAAGAUUGGCUAAUACCGCAUACGUCUGUAAAGGGAAAGCGGGGGCUCGUAAGACCUCGCGCUAUUGGAUGAGCCAAAGUCGGAUUAGCUAGUUGGGGGGUAAUGGCCUACCAAGGCGACAAUCCGUAGCUGGUCUGAGAGGACGACCAGCCACACCGGAACUGAGACACGGUCCGGACUCCUACGGGAGGCAGCAGUGGGGAAUAUUGGACAAUGGGGGAAACCCUGAUCCAGCGACGCCGCGUGUGUGAAGAAGGCCUGCGGGUUGUAAAGCACUUUUAGUGGGGACAAAAGCUACGGAUUAAUACUCUGUGGUCUUGAUUUAACCCAAAGAAAAGCACCGGCUAACUCUGUGCCAGCCGCCGC